rnacentral:rRNA from 1 species
AGUGAACGCUGGCGGUAGGCCUAACACAUGCAAGUCGAACGGCAGCACAGUAAGAGCUUGCUCUUACGGGUUGCGAGUGGCGGACGGGUGAGGAAUACAUCGGAAUCUACUUUUUCGUGUAGGUUAACGUAGGUAAACUUACUCUAAUACCGCAUACGACGUACGGGUGUAAGCAGGGGAUCUUCGCACCGGGCGCGGUUGAAUGAGCCGAUGUCGGAUUAGAUAGUUGGCGGGGUAAAGGCCCACCAAGGCGACGAUCCGUAGCUGGUGUGAGAGGAUGAUCGCCCACACUGGAGGUGAGACAGCGUCAAGGGUACUGCGAGAGGGAGCAGUCGGGAAUAUGGGACAAUGGGCGCGAGCCUGGUCCAGCCAUACCGAGUGGGUGAAGACGGCCUUCGGGUUGUGAAGCCCUUCUGUUGGGAGAGAAAAGCAGCAGGUUAAUACCAAGCUGUUCUGACGGUAACCAAUGAAUAAGCACCGGCUAACUUCGUG